rnacentral:rRNA from 1 species
GACGAACCGUGCGAACGUUAUUCGGAAUCAUUGGGCUUAAAGGGCGCGUAGGCGGCGGUGUAAGUUGGAAGUGAAAUCCCAUCGGCUCAACCGUGGAAUUGCUCCCAGUACUGCAUCGCUCGAGGGGGAUAGGGGUUUGCGGAACUACCGGUGGAGCGGUGAAAUGUGUUGAUAUCGGUGGGAACGCCAGUGGCGAAAGCGGCAAACUUGACCCUUCCUGACGCUGAGGCGCGAAAGCUAGGGUAGCAAACGGG